UACACCCCUGCGGGAGGCAGCAGUGGGGAAUUUUGGACAAUGGGCGAAAGCCUGAUCCCGCAAUGCCGCGUGAGUGAAGAAGGCCUUCGGGUUGUAAAGCUCUUUUGUCAGGGAAGAAACGGUGAGAGCUAAUAUCUUUUGCUAAUGACGGUACCUGAAGAAUAAGCACCGGCUAACUACGUGCCAGCAGCCGCGGUAAUACGUAGGGUGCAAGCGUUAAUCGGAAUUACUGGGCGUAAAGCGUGCGCAGGCGGUUUUGUAAGUCUGAUGUGAAAUCCCCGGGCUCAACCUGGGAAUUGCAUUGGAGACUGCAAGGCUAGAAUCUGGCAGAGGGGGGUAGAAUUCCACGUGUAGCAGUGAAAUGCGUAGAUAUGUGGAGGAACACCGAUGGCGAAGGCAGCCCCCUGGGUCAAGAUUGACGCUCAUGCACGAAAGCGUGGGGAGCAAACAGGAUUAGAUACCCGAGUAGUCCCAUG
rnacentral:rRNA from 1 species